GGAGAGAUGGCUCAGUGGUUAAGAGCACUGACUGCUCUUCCAGAGAUCCUGAGUUCAAUUCCCAGCAACCACA
rnacentral:tRNA from 1 species